AGGCUUAACACAUGCAAGUCGAGCGCCCCGCAAGGGGAGCGGCAGACGGGUGAGUAACGCGUGGGAAUCUACCCAUCUCUACGGAACAACUCCGGGAAACUGGAGCUAAUACCGUAUACGUCCUUAUGGAGAAAGAUUUAUCGGAGAUGGAUGAGCCCGCGUUGGAUUAGCUAGUUGGUGGGGUAAUGGCCUACCAAGGCGACGAUCCAUAGCUGGUCUGAGAGGAUGAUCAGCCACACUGGGACUGAGACACGGCCCAGACUCCUACGGGAGGCAGCAGUGGGGAAUAUUGGACAAUGGGCGCAAGCCUGAUCCAGCCAUGCCGCGUGAGUGAUGAAGGCCCUAGGGUUGUAAAGCUCUUUCAACGGUGAAGAUAAUGACGGUAACCGUAGAAGAAACCCCGGCUAACUUCGUGCCAGCAGCCGCGGUAAUACGAAAGGGGGCUAGCGGUGUUCGGAAUUACUGGGCGUAAAGCGCACGUAGCGGAUACUUAAGUCAAGGGUGAAAUCCCGGGGCU
rnacentral:rRNA from 1 species